rnacentral:rRNA from 1 species
CCUACGGGAGGCAGCAGUAGGGAAUAUUGCUCAAUGGGGGAAACCCUGAAGCAGCAACGCCGCGUGGAGGAUGAAGGUUUUCGGAUUGUAAACUCCUUUUGUUAGAGAAGAUAAUGACGGUAUCUAACGAAUAAGCACUGGGUCACUCCGUGCCAGCAGCCGCGGUAAUACGGAGGGUGCAAGCGUUACUCGGAAACACUGGGCGUAAAGAGGGCGGAGGCGGGAUAGCAAGUGUGAAGUGAAAUGCUCUGGCUUAACCCGAGAAGUGCAGUUGGAACUGGUGGUGUUGAGGUAGGGAGAGGCAGGCGGAAUUCGUGGUGUAGGGGUGAAAUGCGUAGA